rnacentral:lncRNA from 1 species
GAUUUUAUUUUCUAAAAUUUUCAAAUGAAUAUAAACUUGAAAACUGUAAGUGAUAGAUACAUGCAGUCUUCAGAAUUGAUUAUAGGACAAUUAAACAAAUCACAUGAAAUAUAGGGGGAGUCCCUGGGAGUUCAUCCCCACCCCCUUCACUUUGAGAAUAUGCUUAUAUCUUGUAAAUGGUCCAGAUCCCCACCCCUAAACCAUAUAUAUUCUUAAAUAAGACGAUAAAACAAAUCAAAUGAAAUGAAAGGGAGGUCCCCGGGGGUCAUCCCCACCCCGUUCAAUUUGAGAAUGUACUAUUAUCUUGUAAACGGUCCAGACCCCCACCCCUAAACCAUAUAUAUUCUUGUAGGGGACAAUAAAACAAAUCAAAUGAAAUUAAAGGGCAGUCCCUAGGGGGUCACCCCUACCCCUCCUGUUUCAAAACUUGUAAACGGUCAACAUCCCCA